rnacentral:rRNA from 1 species
GGUUUUUUGACGUCUUAUAAAAAAUCUGGCCUGCCCAAUGAAGAAAAACUCUUAAAUGGCCGCGAUAUUUUAAUCGUGCUAAGGUAGCAUAAUCAAUUGCCUAUUAAUUGUAGGCUGGAAUGAAUGGUUGGACCUGAAAUUAAUUGUCUUUGUGAUAAGUUGAAUUUUCCUUUUUUGUGAGGAGACAGAAAUGUAUUAAAAAGACGAGAAGACCCUAUUAAGUUUUACAUCAUUAGUAUUAAAAUUUGUAGUGAAAGUAAUAAGAAAAGAUGUUUUGCUGGGGUGGUUAAGAAUAAAAGAAACAUUUUUAGAGAAAAUGACUAAUAAGUGGUAAUGAUCCAAUGAUAUUGAGUUAAAGACUAAAUUACUAUAGGGAUAACAGCGUAAUUUUGUUUGGAAGUUCAAAUUUAUAACAAAGUUUGCGACCUCGAUGUUGGUUUAGGGGCCCUAUUUAGUGCAAAAAUUAAAAAAGGAGGUUUGUUCAACCAAUAAAUCCCUAUA